AAUAAGUUCCAAGGAUGGGCUCUGCACCAUGCCCUUUGGCCAAGGCUGUCUGAUCGGUUCAGCCUACCACCCAUUGGGGUCUGGUCCUCCUGGUCCAGCUCAGGUUCAGAGCCCUUACUUUGACUUCUUAUCUGUGCUGCUUUUGUGAUCAUGGCCAUCCUCUGAUCUCCACCGUCCUGGAACCAGUCAUGAAAGAAGAGAGGAUAAAGAGUCCCUUGCAAGAUGCUAGAGUCAGAUAGACAUGGCUUCUCCUCCCACGGGGAGGUUGGCUGGAACACAUGGAGAAGGGGAACAUCAGGAGUUGGAUCUGUAAAAGAAGUCUGCAUCAGUGUAUGAGAAAUUAUGACUCCGAGCCACCCCAUUCUGAAAUUAUGGGGCAUUCUAGCAAUAGAGCUGUCCAAAGAGGAGUACCCAGGCAAGCCAAAGUAGCAGGGGAAGGCCUGCUGAGUGGGGAGACCCAGUGGAGUCUUAAAAGAAGGACAAGAACAAAUGAGAGAACUGUACAAAUUUAUUCUAAAUAAAUAAUCAUAAACGCAUAUAAUAAAGACUUACUUGAUGAAGGAGAUAAUGCUAGG
rnacentral:lncRNA from 1 species